AUUCUCCACUGAUCUGGGGAGAUGUGACUGGGUUUGUGAGCAGGCAGAUUAAAAGAUGAGCAAGCUCUAAGAAAAAUCACGCAAUACAUUUCCCAGCUACUUUGCUUUCCUAUUGCAGGGUUGGACACAUUUUAAAAAACCCUAAAACAUAUGUAAGAAAUUGACAUCUGAAAGGCCGGCAGAAGCAAACGAGGUUGUGCCAUUGCUCUGUGACACACAGCACUAGAUGGCCGUGUUUCCUACCGAAAACAAGUUCCCUGGAAGAGUGAACACUGGAAUAAAUAACCUCCCUUUGACCGCA